GGUAAAGGAGUCCGCCUGACUCUGGGGAAGGAGGUAAAGGAGUCCGCCUGACUCUGGGGAAGGAGGUAAAGGAGUCCGCCUGACUCUGGGGAAGGAGGUAAAGGAGUUCGCCUGACUCUGGGGAAGGAGGUAAAGGAGUUCGCCUGACUCUGGGGAAGGAGGUAAAGGAGUUCGCCUGACUCUGGGGAAGGAGAGUUCAUUGCCAAAAUCCCGAAGUAUCCCUUUAAAAAGAAGAUUAAAAAAACAAGCUAUGAAGGAAAAAUACUGGAGUUUUGGUGCAGGUACAGCAAAGUAGCGCCCCCCCCAAAAAUAUGGUGAUACUGUCAAAACGAUACAUCGUCAAAAAUAAUAUACCCAUAUGUAAUUAUUGAUUGUUCCCCAUCACUAUGAGAGGAAAUCGGUGAGCAACAAAUUCAACAGAGCUGGAGAUCUACCCAGCUCACCAGCUAAUCUACCCAGCUCACCAUCUGACGAUGAGAACACCAAGAGCUACGACAAUUCCAGCUGACACUCACUAGCACACACACACACACACGGUUAACCGUUACAUCUGAAAACACAGGGCUUCAAACACCUAGACACGGUAGGAUUGCAACACUAAACAGCUAUAAGGUGAGAGAACGAGGGCAUAAAGCAAAGGAGGGAAAAAACAGAAAGAAAGAGGAGGUACUGGGUGUUGGGGACAGAGGACAGAGGAGUAGACAGCAUAGACUUAUGGGUAGACAAACAUCAAAGAUGGAAAUAAAACAGGGAGAUGGCAAUCAUUUGACAAUCUAUGGUAUCAUUGUAAGAGACACGUUACACAAAAGCCAAAGAAGAAAAGGUUUGAAAGGAGGUGCCAAAAGGUGAACACAAGUAUUGUUCUUCAGUACCUGAAACAGAGCAGUCUAGUUCUCCAGUGUCUCUUCAAACAAAUGAUCAGAAAGUUUAAAAGCAGGGGGUGGAUGGGAAUUUAGGUGGGAGAAAAGAAAGGGGAGGGAAUUGUUGCUCUCCCUCAAAAGGAACAGACCAUUUGAUACUCUAACCUCCCAUUGAAUAUACCUUUCGUUUUCUCUCUCUGACACUUAAACCUGAGUGGUUAAAACACUGUAAUUAGAAGUUCAACUGAUUCAGUAGUCUUGCUGGAAUUACUUUAAUUGUUAUUAAUUGUUGUUAUAGUAAUUACGUGGAGGUGUCCUAGUCUAGAGAAGAGUAUUCUACUAAACCAAACUUGGCUUGAGUAUAAUGAUAAAUAAAAGUCAAGUCAGUCUCAAUGCAACUUAUGUCACUUCGCUAUAUUAUAACUCGACUAUCGCUUGCCAGUCAAAGACGUGGCCAAUUACAAAGCAACAACUUGGCAAAGGCCAUUGCCAAACUAAUGGAAUAUCAGAAAACACCUGCAAUAGUUUAUGAAUAAUAACACAAACGUCACCCAAUUACACAACUAUUUCACAAUUAAAAAAAUGUUUUAAAAAAACGAAUGGCAAGCAGUCUGGUGCUCCCACUGACUAACGUGUGGAACUCAUAACGUUAGCUAGUUUGCAUGUGAUUGAUUGCAUGACUGGGACAGCUAGCUAUUCACUCUUAUUUCAACCACAAUGAAUUAGAAAUCUUUGGAAAAUUGCAAUACUUGAACAUCUGCAUAUUGUUGAUGCUAACUAGCUCACAUUCUAAGUAAGUCAGAAAUCGAGUUUUUCAGAAAACAAAUGCUGGUUAGUCCAUAACGAGCUGGGUACAUCAAGUCCAAUGUAUUAAGUUAACUUCAGACAAUUAACAGUUAACUACCUAUCCAACUAAGCAUGAGUACAAUUUCCACGUCACCUUUUUGUCAUUUCCCAUGUGGGACGUGUUGUCUGCUUUCUGGAAAGCAGCUUUGAUAUGAUGACUGGUCUCCACUCUCACUUUUCUUCCUCUCCCGUUUUUCACACCGGUGUCAGUACCUCACUGUAUGUCCAGUUCCCAUUUUCCGCUCUAUCACCCCUCACUACCUCGAAUCCGCCAUUUAGCUAGAUGUUUUAUUAUUUUUUUAUAUCAACAAAAUAAUUCACCGAGAUGAAUUUGCGAUGAUGAUAAUCAUCAUCCUCCUCUUCACCACUGCUCUUCUACCAAUUCCGCCCAAGCCCGUGUCUGUUUCACUGGCUCUUGACGUUAUUUUUCAUUUAACACCAACACCAAAUUGUACACUCU
ensembl:lncRNA